rnacentral:rRNA from 1 species
ACGGAAGGCAGCAGUGGGGAAUAUUGGGCAAUGGGCGCAAGCCUGACCCAGCGACGCCGCGUGAGUGAUGAAGUAUUUCGGUAUGUAAAGCUCUAUCAGCAGGGAAGAAAAUGACGGUACCUGACUAAGAAGCCCCGGCUAACUACGUGCCAGCAGCCGCGGUAAUACGUAGGGGGCAAGCGUUAUCCGGAUUUACUGGGUGUAAAGGGAGCGUAGACGGUUUGGCAAGUCUGAAGUGAAAUGCGGGGGCUCAACUCCUGAACUGCUUUGGAAACUGUCGAACUAGAGUGCAGGAGAGGUAAGUGGAAUUCCUAGUGUAGCGGUGAAAUGCGUAGAUAUUAGGAGGAACACCAGUGGCGAAGGCGGCUUACUGGACUGUAACUGACGUUGAGGCUCGAAAGCGUGGGGAGCAAACAGGAUUAGAUACCCUGGUA